AUUGAACGCUGGCGGCAGGCCUAACACAUGCAAGUCGAGCGGAGCGGCGGACGGGUGAGUAAGGACUAGGAAUCUGCCUGGUAGUGGGGGAUAAAGUCCGGCAACGGGCGCUAAUACCGAAUACUAGCAGAUGAGCCUAGGUGGGAUUAGCUAGUUGGUGGGGUAAAGGACUACCAAGGCGACGAUCCGUACCUGGUCUGAGAGGAUGAUCAGUCACACUGGAACUGAGACACGGUCCAGACUCCUACGGGAGGCAGCAGUGGGGAAUAUUGGACAAUGGGCGAAAGCCUGAUCCAGCCAUGCCGCGUGUGUGAAGAAGGUCUUCGGAUUGUAAAGCACUUUAAGUUGGGAGGCGUUACCAACAGAAUAAGCACCGGCUAACUUCGUGCCAGCAGCCGCGGUAAUUC
rnacentral:rRNA from 1 species